GAUUUCUGGUACGGCGCACUUGGCCCGUCUCGGUUACGAGUAUGUGUGCCGGUGUGCGCCUGCCAUCCAUCUAGAAUACACUUGUACUACCCUUCACUGGGUCUGAACAAGACUGGAUCUAGAUCUUUUACUUUGAAAAAAUUAGAGUGUUUAAAGCAGGCUUGUGCUAUGAAUACAUUAGCAUGGAAUAAUAAUUUAGGACUUUGGUCUUAUUUUGUUGGUUUCUAGGACUAAAGUAAUGAUUGAUAGGGAUAGUUGGGGGUGCUAGUAUUCAGCGGCCAGAGGUGAAAUUCUUGGAUUCGCUGAAGACUAACUUAUGCGAAAGCAUU
rnacentral:rRNA from 3 species